rnacentral:rRNA from 1 species
UACGUAGGGUGCAAGCGUUGUCCGGAAUUAUUGGGCGUAAAGAGCUUGUAGGCGGUUUGUCGCGUCUGCCGUGAAAAUCCGGGGCCCAACCCCGGACUUGCGGUGGGUACGGGCAGACUAGAGUGUGGUAGGGGAGACUGGAAUUCCUGGUGUAGCGGUGAAAUGCGCAGAUAUCAGGAGGAACACCGAUGGCGAAGGCAGGUCUCUGGGCCACUACUGACGCUGAGAAGCGAAAGCGUGGGGAGCGAACAGG